rnacentral:rRNA from 1 species
UACGGAGGGUGCAAGCGUUAAUCGGAAUUACUGGGCGUAAAGCGUGCGCAGGCGGUUGUGCAAGACAGGUGUGAAAUCCCCGGGCUUAACCUGGGAACUGCACUUGUGACUGCAUAGCUGGAGUACGGCAGAGGGGGAUGGAAUUCCGCGUGUAGCAGUGAAAUGCGUAGAUAUGCGGAGGAACACCGAUGGCGAAGGCAGUCCCCUGGGCCUGUACUGACGCUCAUGCACGAAAGCGUGGGGAGCAAACAGG